CCCUGUCCAGGUCUCCUUUGCAUGUUUUUCUAUGGUUGUUUCAUGAUGUUUUAGGGGGUUUUUGGGGAGUAGUUUAGAGAUAUGUUCCAGUAUGUUUAGUCCCUCAUUUGAGUCCACCUGUGUAGGUUCGGACCCGAGGAACCGAGGACCCCAGCAGUGAGUUCAGCUGCUUCGGUGUUGUCAGAGUCAGCCAGAGGUGAGUGGAACUAAACUUAAUCUUUUAAAUUGAGAAAUUAAAUGUUUUAUCAUGUUUCAUGCAUCAUGAUUAUGCAAUAGGGUGAUUGCAUUAGUUUUCACGAAUAUGCCGCAUUGCAUCGAUUGUUGUUGAUGUGGGUGAAUAUUGGAUGACCCAAUUAGUCCAUGACAGGAAGACCAGGACCCCAUUCUACGGCCUGGCACAGAGUAAGGAAAGACCAGGACCCCAUUCUACGGCCUGGCACGGUUAUGGGACACGAAGACCAGGAGCCCAGAGGAGGCCCUGGGGCAAUGGUAAGUAAUGUAUGUUAUGACAGGAAGACCAGGACCCCAUGCUACGGCCUGGCACAGAGUUAGCUUGGACUAAUUGGUGACAAGUUCACCCAACCCUUAUGUGAAUUGUCUGUGUUAUGAUGCAUCUCAUUAGAGCAUAGUGUUAAUAUGUUUUAUAGUUCAACUCACUGGGCUUUUAGCUCACCCCUCUCCCUUUUACCCCCAGGCUUGCAGGUACAGGAUAGAGCAGGAGUCCGGAUAGAG
rnacentral:lncRNA from 1 species